CAUAAGCANCCNCUNGGAGACGCCCCAAGUUGAACUCAAAGGAUUNACGGGGGCCGCACAAGCGGGGAGCAUNUNUUUNAUUCGAAGCNACGCGAAGAACCUUACCAGGUCUUGACAUCCCUCUGACCGCUCUAGAGAUAGAGUUUNCUUCGGNANAGAGGUGACAGGUGGUGCAUGGUUGUCGUCAGCUCGUGUCGUGAGAUGUUGGGUUAAGUCCCGCAACGAGCGCAACCCCUAUUGUUAGUUGCCAUCAUUCAGUUGGGCACUCUAGCGAGACUGCCGGUAAUAAACCGGAGGAAGGUGGGGAUGACGUCAAAUCAUCAUGCCCCUUAUGACCUGGGCUACACACGUGCUACAAUGGUUGGUACAACGAGUCGCAAGCCGGUGACGGCAAGCUAAUCUCUUAAAGCCAAUCUCAGUUCGGAUUGUAGGCUGCAACUCGCCUACAUGAAGUCGGAAUCGUUAGUAAUCGCGGAUCAGCACGCCGCGGUGAAUACGUUCCCGGGCCUUGUACACACCGCCCGUCACACCACGAGAGUUUGUAACACCCGAAGUCGGUGAGGUAACCAUUUGGAGCCAGCCGCCUAAGGUGGGAUAGAUGAUUGGGGUGAAGUCGUAACAAGGUAACCA
rnacentral:rRNA from 1 species